rnacentral:lncRNA from 1 species
AUGAGCUUAAUUUUUAGAAGGAAGAAAAGCCAUCUCGCCAUGGCUCCCUGGGACACAGCGGGGGCUCCAGGGCUCCGCAUUUGCCCCUGCAUCAUGACUCCCUCCGUGGAUCCCUGGACCCCCAUCUCGAGCUCCUUCCGUGGUUCUCUGAGACAAUCCAGGGGAUGGAUGUCGAUCCGCCCAUCUGGCUGAGGGGAGACUGAGUUUCGGAGAAGGAGGAGCCUUGAGCCGACCCCGAGCAGAGCAGGGCGGUGAGUGGGGCUGGGCUGGAGGCGCUGAGCCAGGAGCCCUGUACUGGAGGCCGGGCAGAAGGUCAGCCAGGGGCCUACUGACCACCAGGACGUCUGCCAUCAUCCGCUGCCUCCGUGCCCCCGACCAUUGGGCCAUUCCUUGUCCCCAUCUGUGGGAGGGCCCCUGAGAGGCCCUGGAAGAUCCCAGGCCAGCUUUCAGCAGGUGGAUGGAGCAGGCAGGCCACAUCAGGCACCAAGGCGGCCCCGUUCAUCCCCAUGAGGGCUUCGGUCCAGCUCAUCAGCGGGGAAGGUCAACACCCAUCGCCUCCAGGACCCGAGCCCCUGACGGGUUCUGAACAGGCCCUGGGCUCUGCUGACCUGGGGCCUCUCCCUGCUCCUCCCGCCGUAGUCAGUUCGCCACAUCCCAUCAGGACCGGAGGAGAUGGAGAGAGGUGCCGAGCAUCCUUCUCCAAUGUGGCUGCCUCCACCUCACCUCUGCAGAGAGACACGUCCCUCCUACCUGGGACACGGACGUGGAAGAAAUACCCCCAGGCCGGGAUACCUGCCCAGAUGCCCCAACUCGCUAUCCCAGGCCAGAUCAGGAUCCACCUUCUCCGAUCCUUGGAGCCACGAAUCAGGCUGUCGGCAAGGGUUUUGGAGGACUUCUUGCUCUCAAGUUCGAGGAGUAAUGGAUGGUGGGAAGACCUUAAGAAUCAGACACUGAAUUCACAGCACAGGUGGUCUACCUGGAGAGACAAAAAUACUUAAUUAAAAAAUACCCCCAAAUUCCCUUUUCCUAUUGCCAGGAAAAACCCACAAGAGAAUGCCCAUUAUCGGAGAUUCUUUUGGUCAGAAACAUUUGUCAUCGCUAGUCUAUUGAGGAACAUGCUGAGUGUUGUCCGUAUGCUAUUCCAGACUUCCCAUUUUGUCCACGUGUAAUCGGAACUUUGGCCAUUCCUUUCCUAGUGACUCAGCACGAGAGAAGCCAUCAAUUUCAGGUUUAAAAUUAACUGCAAAAUGUAAGAGACAGUUCAGCCUAGGGAGAGGUAAGCAGUAAGCUCAUUCUGCAACCUUAAAAGCAUUUUGGAAUGAAAAAUCAUACUUGGAAGGCUGGAAACUGGAGGAAAAUUCUGCCAAGUUUGUUGUAAAAAAACCCCUCAUUAUGUAUCUUGAAACUCUUUAGGAAUAUUUUAUCAAAUGAUCCAUUCCCAGUGAUGUUAUUUUGGGAUCCAUUUUAUACCAGCUGACACGUUUCUAUUUAGUAUUUCACUGACUUUGAAAAUCUCAGCACCUCAAUUACAGUUUCUAAUGAAAGAAGGGAGCAGGUCUGCAAGUGGAGCCUGAUUGGUAUAUUCAGUUCUACACCCGUCUCAUUCUUGCCUUAGACGAUGGGUGAAAAUGUUGCAGGAGUUAUUUAUUUGUUUUGGAAGAAAAGAAAAGGUCAAUGGGGGUGUGGUGGCUCUCAGGUGAGUUGACUCUACGUCUGUCUUCUUCUUGGACAUUCCUGUAGAAGCUGGUCCCUGGAUACUGGCCUGGCUCAUGGAGAUGGCUUGUGAGCUUGGCUGAUCUGCUUUAGAUGAAAGCCCCACAGUCUAAGAGGUCCUGUGGUCCCUCCCACAGAUGGCAAGAGCAAGCCUCCAGUGGGUGAGCCCACCUGGAGAUGCUUCUGUGAAGGCUGAUGUCUCUUCAUGAUGCUGUGGGCUCCUUAGGAGUUGAUUCCCACCAAGAGCAGAUAAGGAAGGACCCGUUUUAAGAAGGGGGUUCACCUACAUCAUGUGCCUUCAGGCGGGGACUUCUUUCCCCAAAUAACUCCACAGUUAACCCAACUCAGGCAUCUCUAAUGAUUCCCUUUGGGCUGAGGCAGUGUAUUCUCCUAGAGACCUCCAUGACAACCACUUCUGAAACACCAUUCAAGGAGACCCCGACACGCUAACAUCACCUCCACGUUGGGUUGGCAGGAUCCAUCCUGGUUCAGGUGUUUCUGCGUGGUUAUGAUUCCCAAAUUAGGUUUGUAAGUGAUGACUUAUGAAUACCUCAAUGAGGUUAAAAUUGUAACUGGGUGCGCUGGAGAAUUAAAAUGUGAAAGGAAUGUUUUGUAUUAGUAAACCAUCCACAGCUAAUAACUUCUGUCUCCAACCAAUUUUCCCCAAUGUAUGGGGAGCUGCCACCACCACCAUCAUCAAUAUCACCGUCACCUUCAUCAUCACCAUCCCCACCAUCAGCAUCACUAUCACCUUUGUCAUCACCAUCACCAGUAUCACCGUCAUCAUCGUCAUCACCACUGCCGCCACCAUCAGCAUCACCUUCAUCACUACACCGUCAGCAUCACCAUAACUUUCAUCAUUAUUGCUUCAUUCGCAAUCUGAAUCAACAACCAUUACUCUGAGUUGGAGGAUAUAGGAAAAGGCUUUUGUAAAGCAGACUUCAAACAAAAAAAAUAUACACUCGUAACAAAUCAACCAGUGGACUUCUUAGAAGUAAUUUCCAAAUCAGUGCAGACUUUAAGCAUCCUAACUCCUUUUUAUUAUGAAGAUUCUGCAGGCUACUUAUAGGAAGGGACAGGAACAUGAGGCCUGGAAAUGGCUCUAGGUAAUGGGGAAUACUUUGAAAUAAAUUGGUGCUAGGUUUGACAUAUUCUGAAUUUUAUCCGUUCACAGUGGAGGAGAGAAAAGUGAAUCACCUGCAGAGAAAACAAAUAUAAAUUUCCAGAGGAUUUUUUCCUUUAAAUGGUGCCACUCAGAUGUGGUGCAAUCCUGCCAUGUUGUCGCAGGGCCUGUGAAGCCAAAUCAAAAGAGGGGGUCAAUUUUCACCUCUGUUAAUACUCGUGCAUCCAUCAUUGUUCUUUCUCUUCAGAAAAUAGAGAAUUUAAAGGUUAUUAGAAAACUCUGCCAUGUACUGUGCUGUCCAGGGAAAGCAGGCAGCCACUAAGGGGGAGAGAAAUAAAACUGGCAGACGCAAGGAGGCCUGUGGAAGGAGGCAGAGUGUGUGAUUACGUUGGAAUAGCUCCUGCGGUGAGUUUCCUUUGCUCCCAGAGACCGUCCAAAUUCCAACUGAAGUGAGAUCAAUUCCCAAUUCAUUUCUGUCUAAACCCAAUCACAUCUUAUAAGCCUGGAGGGUCCCCAGUUUGUUUGAGGUUGAGAUGAGCAGUGGCUUUGCUUGGGUGCAGGCAGACUGGGGAAGCGAUGCCCGGAACUGACGCGCGGGGCCCGGGAAGAGUGAAAGGCUACCGCAAGGAUGCAAUCUGAGUUAGUUACUGUGUGUGGUUGUUUUAAAAUAUAUCUGCAAAUUUUUACCAUUCUUCCAAUCUAGAGGCGGGAUCUAUGUCCCCUCUCCCGGCUUGUGACUCUUCCAGCUGGUGGCACUUGUGCUAUGUGACCUCCAAGGUGAGGUCAGAAAAGGUCAUUCAGCUUCCACCUUGUUUGCUAGAACGCUUGCUCUUGGGAUCCUGAGCCACCAUGCGAGAAGGCUGAACCCCCGAGGCUGCCGUGCUGUGAGGAAGCCCAGGCCACGGGGAAGGCCACAUUAGGCCCUCUGCUUGAUAGUCCCAGGCGAGACUAACCUUUGAGCUUUUCCAAGCAGACAUCAAACAUGUGAAGUCUCGAGAUGAUUCCACCCCUCAGCAAUUUGAAUCACCCCCAGCACUUCCGCCCUUCCUAAAGGAGGCCGUCAAACACCGUGGAGCUGUGCCCUCCCUGAAUUCCUGACCCGCUGAACCAGCGAGCAGAAUCUACUGAACUCGGUUUGGGUCACGGCGUGCUGGGUGAUCCCCUGACGCUGCGUAAAUUGCACUGAGGCUGCCUGUGAGCAUGGAGACGUCACAGGCUGAAGCCAGCUGAAAUCGAUUGCCUCUUUAUCAUUUAUCUUUCCCUGAAAGGCAAAGAAAAAGAAACACAGCGUGUAUGAUUGUUCAAGUUUGGCAGAAAAGGAUACGUAAUUGAAAUGAAGAUCUUUGAUUUUUUGGAAACUUCAAAUGAAUAGCGUGAUCUGAACUUGCUUUUUUGUGCCUGCCCUUUUCCUUCACAUUACGAGCUCCAAACGUUAGCUCUCGUUUAACUUUUUGUUCCUUCCUAAGUACUGGCUCUAAUUCCUGGGUGGCCCCAUUGUCUCCUAAAGACAUUUGACUGUGAUACAUUCAAGGUCACUGACGAUGUUUUAAAUAUUUUCGUAGACAUUGCUUUGGUUCGGGCAAGAUUUGGAAUCCAUAAAUACAUUCUUUGAUGCACUCUCCUACUGUUUACAUAUUUCUAUUAAAAACAGCGAUUUUCCUUCUGCUUUAGAGCUAUGUUCACGCCCUUAUUUGCCUCAUAGUUUGCUGUCACAACACAAAAACUUGUUUGAAAGGAAGAAUAAUUCAUACCUGCGUCCUCAGUGGCCCCUGAAUGAGUGCUUUCCAUCAGUGGCUGUAUCGGCUCUUAGCGGAGAAAUCUGCUUUUAGCCAGAGGCACACAGUCCCUGCCGGACCUAUCACUGUGUGUGUAUUGUAGGAGAAACAAGGACCUUCAAACAUUCCCAUCUUCCCCAUCAGUGGUUCCCAUAAGCCGAAGUCACAAGGACCAGGCUUGUCUUGAGAGAAAGAUAAGGCAGGGUUUUGGCAAAGAAUGCAAAAUCACUUUUUCACCGAAGCCGGAACGUGCCUUACAGUGAGGAAUGGCGGCUCACUGCGUUGUGUAGUUGUGAGUGUGUAAUAAUAAAAGGAGCCCUACAGCAUCCGUCCGUAAGGCACUUUUUAAUUUAUUUUUUUUGUCCUGGAUGCACAAUCACCCACAGCAAGAGGCGUGCCAUUCUCACACGCGGGCCGACCUGCGCUCCUGGACGCGGUCGGGCGCGUCUCGAGGACCCGCCUGUGGCUGUGACGAUGGAGGCACCGCCACGUGCAGCCGGCCUCUGCCUCUCGACGGGGAGGGGGCGGGUGGGGGCCGGCGGGGGCGGCGCAGGGUCUCCCCUGCGAGGCCAGGCGGAGGUUCGCGGCUCCAGGUGCCCGCUCUGCUCCUCCCAGAAGCUGGACUCACAGGAAACGGAGGCCCGGCCGCCCCGCGAGCCCUCUAUUUACAGCCAGAAUGAGGCGCCGAGUCCUCCGAGAAGUCGAACAGCCGGACCGAUGAGAACGUGGCCCUGAUUAAGCCCAGCAUCUGAUGUGACAUUCUCUGUGGUUACGUUUACUUCCCGUUACUAGGGCUUGUGAAGGAGGCAGCGCUGAGAAGGCAGCCUUGGGAGGUCCAAGGCGUCUGGAAGAUGCGUCAGGACGCGCCCCCUGCGCCUCCUCCCCGGGGUUUGGGGUCGCGAGGAUGCUGCCGCCUGGGGCCCCUCCUGGUUACCGCCGUGAACCUGCCGGGCGCGGGGCCUCCUGCAGCCUCCGCGUCUGGCCCGUCUGUCCUCAGGCCGAGGCUGGGCCGUAGUGACCGGCUGGCGGUCCCUGCGCGUCCGGCCCUGCUCCGACGGCCCGAGGCGCGCCCGGCUGCUGGGCAGUCGGAGCCUCGCAGGCUCUGGGAUCCGGGGCCUUCUCGACAAAGCCGCACGAGACCCGUGGCCCCUACUCAGAAAGCGGAGCCACCAAACGCCUGGUCACUCGUGCCAGUGACCCCCCCCCUCCACGGGCAUCCUGGGGUCCCCCUCUUCUCCAGCCUACCUCGAAGACGCUAAAUUCGAAACAGGCCUCCAGUCUGUCCAUCUGUCCGCCCCCAUCCCCUGCUCUCGCGAGCGGGCAGCUCAGUCCUUGCUCGGGUCACUGUGACAGCCCUGUGGGUUCUCCUGCCGACUGUCGUCUCCCCGCCUCGAAGUUUACUCUCCACACCCACCCUGAGGGAGAGGGAGCUCCAGAAAGUCAAAUGAGCUCCUGUGGCCCUGAGUGUUUCAGUGGCUUCCCACUGCACCUGGGAGAAAGUGACCCCCAGCCCCCAUCACAUGGCGCAAGGCUCCCGGGAUUCCUGCAGUUUCCCCCAAAUUCUAUCCCACCAUUGUGCCAUGCCAUUCCAGACACUCUGGUCCCCCAGCUCUAUCUCCAAUACCCUGAGUUGUCCAGCCCCAGGGCCUUUGCACAUGCUGCUCCCCCUCCUUCUGGAAUGCUCUCCCCUCAGCUCUCCCCAUGACCCGCUGAAAGGAGCUCAACACAAGGUUGACAUAAUGGAAGCCAUAUUGUAGAAGAGAGACCAUGUUGUAACUUUGAAUGACCUCUGACUAACUAACCCAGCUGGAUUUGCACCCUCCAGGAGAUCCACCUGUGCUGUAGACGUUAUGACCCCUGCUAGAGCCUAUACCUUGCAGCUGCAAUAAGAUGAUAACUUUGUUCUUUUGAGUUCCUUUGGAAUGUGAUGACCCCCAAACAGACAGUCUAUGCUGAUAGCCAUCAUCAAUGAAACUGAAAGACCUGGAGUGGCGACUUGCAGUCUGUAACAACUGAGGGUCAACAUUCCUAACCCCUCCCCUAUAACCCACUGCCCUAUAUAACUGCGUCAAGAUUCUGUGCCCCCCUUACGAUGGGUCUUUUGGACAUUAGUCGGCCAUCUGCCCUCUUGCUAGCGAGCUGUAAUAAAAUGCCCUUUCUCUGCACCAUCUCACCUCUUGACGACUGGCUUUUGUCUCGGGGAGAGCAGAUUGUGCUCUUUGUGCGGUCAUACUGCCCCUCAUGUCCUUCCAUGCUCUGCUCAGGUGUCACCUGCUCAGAGGACAGCCCUGACCACCCGUCUAAAGAAGCUCUCGGCACCCACGUCGUGUCCCUAUGUCCUGCACAGAACUUGUCCCCAUGUGAAAUUGAUGUACUCAUUUUAUACCCUUCUGUUGUCAUUUCCACCCACAGGAAUGUCAACCACGUGAGAGAAGAAACUGUCUGUUCGCUGUGGAUCCCUGCUCUGAGAACGGGGUCAGCCGCAGUGAGUUCUUGAUUUGCGUUUGUUGAGUAAUUGAAGGAACAAGAAGAAUCAUAAGAUGGAAUCCCAAGAAUUCCAAAAUAAGUAUUUAAAUCAUAGAAUGUUCGAGUCAGAAGGAGCCCUUGGAAACCAUUCAGCCAAACCCAUUCCUUUUGCAGAUGGGUGAACUGAGACCCAGGAGGACAAAGUGCCUGCUCCACACCCCAAGCCGGGGGCCCUGCUCUGUGCGGGGGGGUUCUGCUUGCGUGGUUGUGGGGGCCACAUGUGGCUGUGGGGCGCCAUCUGUCCUUGACACAUGGCUGAGGAAAAUAGGGACAGAAGGCACAAAUAUGCCAAAAGAUAAAAGACUAAAAGCUACACAGUUCAGAGGAGACAGAGCUGGAGGCUGGGUGCCCAGUGGCCUGGAAAGGCUCCCCGAGGACGAGGGGCCUGAAUGGCUUGAGGAGCCGGUGGACCCCAACUUUGAGGGUCAACUCAUGGGAGGGCCUUAGGCAGGAACAGGCUGAGGCAAAUUCCUCAAGAAGGUAAUUCAGGGACAGAAGCAUCCGCUGGCUGCCUGUCACAGCCAGGGGCCUUUCACACGGAAAUCAGAUCACGUGUUCGCUGCCUGGAACAUUCGCUGCUUCUGUGCUGAGGCACCUCAACAGACGACCACAAACCGGGUGGCUUCAGACAAGGGUGAUUUGUCUCUCAAGUUCAGGAAACCGGAAGUCUGAAAUCGGGGGCAGGGGCGGUCCCUCCUGGGGCUCCGAGGCAGCAUCUGCUCCAGGCCCCCUCCAGCUGCUGGUGGGGACCGGCCUCCUUGGGGUCCCUUGGCUUGUAGGUGCAUGGCUUCCAUCUCUGCCUCACGGUCACACGACUUUCUCCAUGUGUGUCUUCACACGGCUUCAGACAAGGACGCUAGUCAUUGUAUUUAGCGUCACCCGAACCCAGUACGACCUCAUCUUAACUAAUCACAUCUGCAAAGACCCUCUUUCCAAAGAAAGUCACAUUCUGAGGUUCCGGGAGGGGCAACGCUAUUCAAGCCAGUGCAGCUUCCCAUUCUGCCGGAUUGAAAGCUGAGCCCUCUCCAGGCCUGUGGGGCAGAGCAGCCUGGUGCUUGAGACCAGGAGGCUGGAGCUGGCCUGCCCAGGUGAGCACCCAGCUCGGUCGUCACCCCCGUGUGCCUGAUGGUGGGUCAUGGCUCCCUGUUCUUUAUUCCCCUUUUGCCACAUGAUGUCACGGGGCCUCCCAAUGAUGUAGGAUGGCCAGGUGACCUGCUCUGCUCAAUGGGGCACUCGUGGGCUUGACCACGCAGAGGCCCUAAGUGCACUUGUGGGAUCUGGCUUGGUUCUUGGCUUCUGGAAGGUCCUGCCCCAAGGAGCUGCCCUCCUAGGGCUGAUGAGAGCUUCGCAGGGCUGACCUGAGGCCGAUCCCCAGCCUGCGGCCAAGCCCGGCAGCCCGGUGACCCUCCACAGAGUCACCCCAUCGAGCCCAACUCAGAUCAGCUGAACCCAGACGACCUGCCCUCCGCGAGCUGGGAAGUAAGUCACUGUGUUUGGAUGGUUCGUUACAGAUCAACACUGGGACAGUGGCUGAGGAAAACAGAAAUGUGUUGCUGGGCAUUCAGCUGCCCUCUCGGUUUCCCCAUCUGUAAAAUGGGGCUGAAAGCAGUACCAGCCUCCUCAGUUGUUGUGAGGGUGAAGCGAGAUAAUAAACGUAACGUGGCAUGUGGUGAGUAUCAGUGAGCGUCAGCGCCAUGCUAUCACCAGGCCCAGCACGACCCUGUCAUCUCACGUCCCCUCGGUCACUUGGUUGAAGGCAAAGGCCUCCUCCUGUUUCUGGAAAACUCUCUGCCUUUGUGCUCUUCCCGAUCUCCACGAGGGGGGGGGUCUCCUUGUCCUCUGAGCUCAGCUCCGAUGACCCCUUCGCAGAAGCGCCCUCCCAAGAGCUCGGCUGCCCCUGAGGCCGCUGCCCGUCUGCUUGUUAGCGUCUGUCCACAGCCAGAGGGCAGGGACUCCUUCUCUUUUGUCCUCUGGAGCAUCCCACAACUAGAACCAGCCGACACAUAGUAGGUGCUCAAUUAAUACUGUGAACCUAUUCUAAAGGGCAGACCAAGCCUUCUCUUCAUGUGUACGUCCCCAGCAAAUUGCGUCCAACGCCUUCCUUGCUCCAUGUCUCUUCCAGGGGCGGAGACAAGAGCAGACGAGGUCCCUGCCCCACGGGCCUCCCACGUUGGCGGGAGAGAGACAGGAACGUGAAAUCCAGCGGGGCCGCACGUGGCCGGUGGUGAAGGUCGCCAAGAGGGAAGCACAGCAGGAUAGGGAGGCGGGGACAGGAGUGGUGCGGGCUCAACAGGCUGUUCAGGGAGGGACUCACUGAGACAGGGACAUAGGGCAAGGGGCCUGAAGAAAUAAGUGGGGCACGAGGGUUCUGCGGGGAGCGUUCAAGGCAGAGGGCACAGCCGGUACAAGGCCCGUGUGUGCGAGGAGCAGUGGGGGCCAGAGUGGCUGCAGGGAGGUGGGCGAGGGGGACUGUGGGAGCCAGGUCAGAGAGGUGACGGCACGGGAUCCGUGUACGACCUUGAGGGCCAGUGAAAGGACGCUGGCGUUACCUGUGCAUGUUGGAGCCCUCAGAUGGGUCUGAACACAGGAGUGACGUGCUCUGAGUUCAUUUUAGGUGACGCCUCAGGCUGUGUGCGGGGCCAGACUGUGGGGCGGAGGGCAGAAGCAGCUGGACCUGUGAGGAGGCCACCAGGGUGGGGGCAGGAAGGUGCAGGGCACGGUCAUCAGUGCCAGCUCUGGGAUUUGCACCUGAGGGUCGGCUGACGGGAUCUGCUGAUGGAUGGGGCGGAGGCGGUAAGAGGGAAACAGACCGUCAAGGAGGACGCCAAGGGCUUUGGGCUGAGCGGCUGGAAGGACUGCGGUGCUCCUGAGUCAGGUGUGGGAGGUCUCAGGAGGAGCAGGCGGGAGCAGGGAGCGGCUGAGAGGCAGAGAGACCUUCCAGAAAGGUCUGGGGUCCUGAGCCAACUUGGCCCCCCCUCAAGAGCUUCCUUCAUCUGAGCUGCAAGGAUGACCACCUGUGUUGUCCCCGAGCGGGUGACGCCAGCCAGGCUCUGCACUUGUGUCUCCCUCCGAGAGACAAAGGUCAAUGUCACAGCAGUCUGCUCUGAUGCUGGCUUCAAGCCAAGGCCCUUAAUGUUCAAUGAGAAAUCUGCAUUGAUGAAAUUUUCAUUAAAGAAACGUUAUCCCUUUCCCUCGCCUUGUUAUUCCGUGGCUGUGGGUAUCAGGCUAAUUUGGGUUUGAUUACCCCGAUGAUCUGAAGAUUGGAGCAUUAUUAAAAAUUUAGAUGAGCAAUGAUAGGUCUGCGCCUCCCUCUCCUCUCUCAGCCGGAGCACAGGGGCUCUGCUAACGAUCACAACGAAUUCGGGGCAGACAUGGCAAUUAGAGGAGUAUCGAUAGUUCGAGGGGGCUUCAACCCCUCUGCCUCCAACGGAAAUCGGCUGGGUGGCUUC